GUGGACGUAGCUCAAUUGGUUAGAGCGGAGGCCUGUGGAGCCUCAGGUUGCGGGUUCGAAUCCCGUCGUCCACC
rnacentral:tRNA from 1 species